rnacentral:rRNA from 1 species
AGAGAGAGACAUGCGCGCAUAUCAAUAAGCGGAGGAAAAGAAACUAACAAGGAUUCCCUUAGUAACGGGCGAGUGAAGCGGGAAGAGCUCAAAUUUGAAAUCUUCAAGGUUUUACCUUGACGAAUUGUAGUUUAAAGAAGUGUUUUCUGCUGAAGUUUUGGUAAAAGUUCUUUGGAAUAGGACAUCAUAGAGGGUGAGAAUCCCGUAUUUGACCAUUAUUUUCAGCUUUGUGAUACACUUUCAAAGAGUCGGAUUGUUUGGGAAUGCAGUCCAAAAUGGGUGGUAAAUUUCAUCUAAAGCUAAAUAUUGGCGAGAGACCGAUAGCGAACAAGUACCGUGAGGGAAAGAUGAAAAGAACUUUGAAAAGAGAGUUAAACAGUACGUGAAAUUGUCAAAAGGGAAGCGUUUGACACCAGUGUUGUUUUCUCGAAAAUCAAUUAAAAAUGGCUCGAUUUUGUAUUGCUUGAGACCUUAAAAGCUCACUGUACAUUUUUCGUGUCUUUUUUAAUGCACUUUUCGUUUAACAAGUCAACAUCAGUUUCUUUUGUUGUAAAAGGGUCAUUGGAAGGUGGCUUUCUUUUCGGAGAAAGUGUUUAUAGCCUUUGGCCUCUGCAAUCGAAGAGACUGAGGUCUGCAGCGUAGACUCUUCGGGGUUAGAUACAUUUGUGCUAAGUUAUAGCUUUUUAUAGACAACUUGUUGACUAUAAUUAGUCUUGUAGCUUACUCGCUUAUGCUAUUUUACCUACGCUUAGGAUGUUGAAGAUGUAGCACAUCAU